rfam:Nomascus siki mitochondrial DNA, complete genome.
AAACAAAUAGGUUUGGUCCUAGCCUUUCUAUUGGCCCUUGGUAAGAUUACACAUGCAAACAUCCCCGCCCCAGUGAAAUUGCCCUCCAAAUCGUCCACGAUCAAGAGGAGCGGGUAUCAAGCACGCAGCAAUGCAGCUCAAAACACCCAGCCUAGCCACACCCCCACGGGAAACAGCAGUGAUAAACCUUUAGCAAUAAACGAAAGUUUAACUAAGCUAUACCAACUCAGGGCCGGUCAACUUCGUGCCAGCCACCGCGGUCAUACGAUUGACCCUAGUCAAUAGAACCCGGCGUAAAGAGUGUUUUAGAUCAUACUCCAAUAAAGCUAAGCUCCAUCCAAGUUGUAAAAAACUCUGGCUGGCGUAAAAUAAACUACGAAAGUGGCUUUAACACCUCUGAAUACACAAUAGCUAAGACCCAAACUGGGAUUAGAUACCCCACUAUGCUUAGCCCUAAACUUCAACAGUCAGAUCAACAAGACUGCUCGCCAGAACACUACGAGCAACAGCUUAAAACUCAAAGGACCUGGCGGUGCUUCACACCCCCCUAGAGGAGCCUGUCCUAUAAUCGAUAAACCCCGUUCAACCUCACCAUCCCUUGCUCAGCCUAUAUACCGCCAUCUUCAGCAAACCCUGACAAAGGCUAUAAAGUAAGCGCAAACACCCACAUAAAGACGUUAGGUCAAGGUGUAGCCCAUGGGAUGGGAAGAGAUGGGCUACAUUUUCUACCUCAGAAAACUACGAUAACCCCUAUGAAAUUCAAGUGGUCGAAGGAGGAUUUAGCAGUAAAUUAAGAAUAGAGUGCUUAAUUGAACAAGGCCCUGAAGCGCGUACACACCGCCCGUCACCCUCCUCAAGUAUAUUUCAAGGAACCCCAUAACUAAACGCCCCGUGCAUCUAUAUAGAGGAGAUAAGUCGUAACAUGGUAAGUGUACUGGAAGGUGCACUUGGAUAAACCAAGGU